CCCCCUCUCUAACACCAAGUUAUUCACAAAUAAUCACCAAAACACUACCUAUAAACCCCUCUCUCUCUCUCUCUCUCUCUCUCUCUCUCUCUCUCUCUCUCUAGAUAUAUAUAUAUAUUGGGUGUAUUGUACUGUAGUUACAGAGCUAGCAAGUCGUUUUACUACAAUGUUUUCACACUGCCGCCGUCUGUGGAAGGUUGAUUAGAUGUGUGGUGCCUAAUUUGGGUACUACUUUCAUGACAAGAUAGAAGCGAAAUUGAAAGGAACCAUGCAGAGAGGUGGAGAGCGUACCGUGAUGGGGAGCAGAUGGAUUGGGGUAGCCGGCUGGAGGGUAGCCCUGGGGAGGGUAACCCUGCGGAGGGUAACCCUGCGGUGGGUAUCCCUGAGGUGGGUAUCCCUGAGGUGGGUAGCCCUGCUGCGGGGGGUACCCGCCUUGAGCCGGAGGGUAACCCUGAGGAGGGUACCCCCCAUGCUGUGGGGGGUACCCCUGGGGAGGAUAUCCAGAGUGGUGCCCAGUAGCAUAUCCAGCGAGCCCAUGAGCGAUGUUGGAGGCUAGCCCUUUGUCGCUGUGCUCUCCCCCGUCAUGCCCCUUUUCCUUGUCCUUGC
rnacentral:lncRNA from 1 species